AUUGAACGCUGGCGGAAUGCUUUACACAUGCAAGUCGAACGGCAGCACGGACUUCGGUCUGGUGGCGAGUGGCGAACGGGUGAGCAAUGUAUCGGAACGUGCCCAGUCGUGGGGGAUAACGUAGUGAAAAUUACGCUAACACCGCAUACGAUCUAUGGAUGAAAGCGGGGGAUCGCAAGACCUCGCGCGAAUGGAGCGGCCGAUAGCAGAUUAGGUAGUUGGUGGGGUAAAGGCCCACCAGGCCAACGAUCUGUAGCUGGCCUGAGAGGACGACCAGCCACACUGGAACUGAGACACGGUCCAGACUCCUACGGGAGGCAGCAGUGGGGAAUUUUGGACAAUGGGCGAAAGCCUGAUCCAGCCAUUCCGCGUGCAGGAUGAAGGCCCUCGGGUUGUAAACUGCUUUUGUACAGAACGAAAAGGUUUCUACUAAUACUAGGAGCUCAUGACGGUACUGUAAGAAUAAGCACCGGCUAACUACGUGCCAGCCGCCGCCGUAA
rnacentral:rRNA from 1 species